GACGUAUCUUGAUCUCCACCCCCUUACUAAUACCUCACCAUACACCGUAGUGGAAACAAUGUCCCUUGCUAAAGCUGCUAUUUUCUUUCGGAAGCUUGGCUGCAGGCACUUGCUGUUAGUGUCUUAAUUAGACAAAAGGAGGCCUCCAACCGUUGGAAUCUUGACACGGCACGAUUUCAUGCCGGAGCACAAAAUGGGACUUUUUCCGCAGUUGAAACCUCACGAGUAAAAGUAGCAAUGCGCGUAUCUGGGAUUAUACAAGGCCUUGUUUGAUCAAGUUUUAACCUUUAAGAGUCAAUCGUAUUUUCAUUUAUGGAUUACUGUGA